rnacentral:misc_RNA from 1 species
GGUUUGACACCGGCAGUCUCCCUAGAGUGCCCGGCAUAACCCGCUGGUAACUAGGGACGAGGGUUGCGCUCGUUGCGGGACUUAACCCAACAUCUCACGACACGAGCUGACGACAGCCAUGCAGCACCUGUGCACGGACUCCGAAGAGGAACCGAUGUUUCCACGGCUGUCACCUACAUGUCAAGCCCAGGUAAGGUUCUUCGCGUUGCGUCGAAUUGAACCACAUGCUCCGCUGCUUGUGCGGGUCCCCGUCAAUUCCUUUGAGUUUUAGCCUUGCGGCCGUACUCCCCAGGCGGGGCGCUUAAUGCGUUAGCUGCGGCACAGAGACCGUGGAAUGGCCCCCACACCUAGCGCCCACCGUUUACGGCGUGACUAC